AACGAACGCUGGCGGCAUGCCUAACACAUGCAAGUCGAACGCUUAUCUUCGGAUAGGAGUGGCGCACGGGUGAGUAACGCGUGGGAACCUGCCCUGGGGUGGGGGAUAACCGAUGGAAACGUCGGCUAAUACCGCAUACGUCCUGAGGGAGAAAGAUUUAUCGCCCUGGGAGGGGCCCGCGUCGGAUUAGCUAGUUGGUGGGGUAACGGCCUACCAAGGCGAUGAUCCGUAGCUGGUCUGAGAGGAUGAUCAGCCACACUGGGACUGAGACACGGCCCAGACUCCUACGGGAGGCAGCAGUGGGGAAUAUUGGACAAUGGGCGCAAGCCUGAUCCAGCAAUGCCGCGUGAGUGAUGAAGGCCUUAGGGUUGUAAAGCUCUUUCGGCGGGGACGAUGAUGACGGUACCCGCAGAAGAAGCCCCGCUAACUUCGUGCCAGCCGCCGCGGU
rnacentral:rRNA from 1 species